GCGCACCAGUCGCGAAACUUUACAAUGUGCGAAAGCACGAUAAGGGAACUCUGAGUGCCUCCUAAGGAGGCUGUUCAGGUGUCUAAAAGCACCUGAAGGAAGGGCUGGGUAAGACCGGUGCCAGCCGCCGCGGUAACACCGGCAGCCCAAGUGGUAGCCACGUUUAUUGGGUCUAAAGCGUCCGUAGCCGGCUGGGUAAGUUCCUUGGGAAAUUUGGCUGCUUAACAGUCAAGCUUUCAGGGAAUACUGCCCGGCUUGGGACCGGGUGAGGUCAGAGGUGCUCCAGGGGUAGGGGUGAAAUCCAUUAAUCCUUGGGGGGCCACCGGUAGCGAAGGCGUCUGACCAGACCGGGUCCGACGGUGAGGGACGAAGGCUAGGGGCGCGAACCGGAUUAGAUACCCGCGUAAU
rnacentral:rRNA from 1 species